CCUCUCCAAAUAUAGUACAUAUUUAAGCAAUAAUACACGAGAGGGAGUGCUAUAAAAUGUAAUAUUGGCACUUAUUAAUAUUACACUUUAUAGCAUGAACCUGGAAUGUAUUCUUGUGAUUACAACACAGUUCCAUUAUAUCUGUUUAUUAAAAGAUUUUAAGUUAAAGAGGACAAGAAAAUACGAUUUGCUUGGUUAUAAAAACUCUGUGACUUGGCUUUCAGCCAAUCACAUUGCAGGGUCGGAACUAACUGUGGUAUAAUUUAACAUUCUUUAUCUGAGUCACACUCUUACUGUCCCUUUGCCCUUUAACUGUCACAACAGGAAGUGUGUUUACCUGUCUGUAGUAUAAACAGAUUAAAGAUGGAGAUAGGAGAGUGAAACAGAUGCAUUUGAAAACUUCAGUUUUUUUUUAUUUUAUUUAUUGAUUGAUUUUUUUUUUUAUUUUACUCCAAGCACUGGAGCAGCUCGACAGACCUAACAGCAGAUAGAAAGAUCCAUCUGACUUCAAUCCACCCAGAAGAACAAGAAGCAUUGAGAACGUCUUACACUAUCCAUUUGGCUUUAAUCCAAUCAGAAGAACAAGAAGCGUUGGCUCCUCAUAUCGUAAGUCACUAUUCAUUAUUCAGCUUGACUGAUGUAGCAUUGUUAGUAUUAACAGCAUUAGCAUUGUGUGUAUUGGAACUACACAAAAAAUUAAGGAAGAAAAACAGUGGCACCUCAACAGUGUUUCAGCCGCACCAAAAACAGAAUUGCAGCGCCCUCCCAGGGCACAUCAACUGCAUAGCAGCGUCCUCUCAGCACUGGCACCUCAACAGCACCUUAACUAGGGUGACCAAACGUCCGUAUUUUAUGUCCUGUCCCGUCACGGGUUUUUUUUUCAGAAAGUGAGGAAAUGUUCUGUUUUUUAAAUUACCUUCAUUGGACCAGAGAGCAGUAGACAGCUUGACUGUCAGCGUGGAACCCUCCCUCCCCCCCUUCCGGUGUAGUCUCACAGUAAGAGCACACACAACGCUCCACCCCUCAACCGGCUACAGUACCACAACAGUGUAGCAGCCACACCGGCUACAGUACCACCUCAACAGUGUAGCAGCCACACCGGCUACAGUACCACCUCAACAGUGUAGCAGCCACACCGGCUACAGUACCACCACAACAGUGUAGCAGCCACACCGGCUACAGU
rnacentral:lncRNA from 1 species